ensembl:lncRNA
AUCGCCUCUCCAUGGGCUAUAAAAAAAUCAGGAACCCAAGAAAGUAGCAGGCAAGCAUUGUGCUGAUCAGCUGCAGUGUUUAGAACGAUUGCAACACCUCGCUAGAGACAUGCCAUAUACAAGCCUGUUUUUGGACUUUGGGUUUGCAUUUUCAUUCGGCCCGUCACGCAGGAGGCUCAUAUUUUAUGUAGACCUUGGGAUUGCUGACUGAAACCUCAAAAGCACUUCAAGCUUGAUCCUGUGACUGCACCCAAACCCUCCUUCUGGGAGAGCAGGUUUGAACCGUGGACCAUCCACACCUCAACCUUCCUGCUAUCUCCCUGCACUGUUCCGCUGCACACCCGUGCCGCUGGACUUUGUCAAGUCAAUGAGACGAACCUCAAUACUCUCAUAGACUCACAGGCUGGAAGCCACAUCCGUUCUGUACCGUUAUAAUACAAUUGCAGGUCAAGUAAAGUCAUAAUAUGGCUAAUAAGGUCAUAGUUGAUUUCACUACUUCUAUGACUGUUGUUUAUUUCACAAGUUGUAUGCGUUGUAGGAGGAUCCUCUGAGGUUCCUCCUCAGCAGAGUGAAGAACAAAUGCCAGAAGAAAUGAGCAGGUUUGUCCUUCAGGGAUUAGCUCACCCAGAUGAGGAGCUGAUGGGAACCAACACACGGCACCCUGAGGAGAAAGGAUCGAAGCCCAAAUGUGGCUCAGGAGGUCGCAGGUCUGCUUUAAUUCUGCCAGAACUCAAUAUGAUUCAUGUUUUCAACCACUUGUUUAAUGUUUAAUAUAUAAAUUGCAGAACAAUGUCUCCUUCUUGAGAAGAUUUUUGAAAUUAUGUUUAUUUCAGAGGUUUAUUUGUUUUAUCUGUUUUAUUAGAGCUGCAUGAAGGCGGUGUUAACAAAUAGCUCAGUCAGAAGAAGUCAAAAGGCAACAAAGAGGAAUGUUAUAGGGGGAAUGACAUGGUGGUGGUGUCCACCCGGGUUCGAAUCCCACCACAGCGAGGACAUCAGUGUGCAUCGCCGCGGUACAGUAGAGACGUCCGGGCUUUCCCCACUGUCAAAGUUACAUCUCAGAGUAACUGCAGAGCAGAAGAAGAAACCUGUCGUCCUCAGCGCUGGAAACUGCGCCCUCGUGUGGAGAGAAAAGAAGCGAAACAAAGGACAUUAGUACAUUUUAUGGAAAACAAUAUUAUGACUGAUCAUGUAAAUCAUGUUAGGGGGUGGCAUGGUGGUUAGUCACCUCACAUCAGGAAGGUCCUGGGUUGGACUCCGCCCAGUGGCCUGUCUGUGUGGAGUCUGCGUGGGUUCUCUCUGAGUACUCUGGCUUCCUCCCACAGUCCAAAGAUGUGCCCUGGGGAUCAGGUUGGGAUCAAUUGGUGAUGCUAAAUUGUGUGAAUGGUUGUAUGUCUCUUUGUUAGCCCUGCGAUUGGCUGGCGACCACUCUAGGGUGAACCCCGUCUUUUGCCUGAAGUUGGCUGGGAUAGACUCCCGCGACCCUGUGUGGAUAAGCGGUUUGCUGGUGGAUGGAUGGAUAAAUCAUGUUAAAU